UAUGUGAUCGUCUCUCGCAUAUCAAUAAGCGGAGGAAAAGAAACUAACAAGGAUUCCCCUAGUAACGGCGAGUGAAGCGGGAAGAGCUCAAAUUUGAAAUCUUAAAGGGUUUCCCUUUACGAAUUGUAGUUUAAAGAAGUGUUUUCUGUUGAGGUUUUGGUAAAAGUUCUUUGGAAUAGGACAUCAUAGAGGGUGAGAAUCCCGUAUUUGACCUUUACUUUCAACUUUGUGAUACACUUUCAAAGAGUCGGAUUGUUUGGGAAUGCAGUCCAAAAUGGGUGGUAAAUUUCAUCUAAAGCUAAAUAUUGGCGAGAGACCGAUAGCGAACAAGUACCGUGAGGGAAAGAUGAAAAGAACUUUGAAAAGAGAGUUAAACAGUACGUGAAAUUGUCAAAAGGGAAGCGUUUGACACCAGUGUUGUUUUUCUGAAAAUCAAUUAAAGAACUGUUUAUGCUAAGCUGUUUAGACUUUAUCAGCUAUCUGUUUAGUUUUGAGCUUUUCUUUAAUGCACUUUUCAGUUAACAAGUCAACAUCAAUUUCUUUUGCUGUAAAAAAGCUUGAGGAAGGUGGCUUGAGAUUCGUCUUAAGUGUUUAUAGCCUCUUGCCUAUGCAGUCGGAGAGAUUGAGGUCUGCAGCGUAGAUCCUUCGGGGCUAAAUGCAUUUGUGCUAAGUUAUAGCAUUUUAUAGACAACUUGUUGACUAUGAUUUGUCUUGUAGCUUACUCGCUUAUGUUAUUUUACCUACGCUUAGGAUGUUGAUCUACAGAGCGAGAGU
rnacentral:rRNA from 1 species